rnacentral:pre_miRNA from 1 species
CAUAAAAUUGUAGGUUUUAAGAGUGGAGCUCCUUGAAGUCCAAAUAUGGGUAUUGGAGGGGUGGAUCGAGCUGCUUUGUCAUGGAUUCCACUGCCCUAUUCCUAUAUGUUAUUUUCAUCUUGAGAGAAAAAAAAAGGAGGGGGGGAGAAAGAAAAAGAUCAUGUUCAUGGGAUAGGUUUGUGGCUUGCAUGACUCAGGAGCUUCAUUAACCUCUUCUUACCCUUCUUUGGAUUGAAGGGAGCUCUACACGUUAAUCUUUCUAAUUUUUUCU